rnacentral:rRNA from 1 species
AUCUUGCGCAAUGGCCGAAAGGCUGACGCAGCGACGCCGCGUGCGGGAGGACGCUUUUCGGAGUGUAAACCGCUGUCAGGUGGGACGAAGGUCCGGGGGAGGAAAUGCUCUCGGGAUGACGGUACCGCCAAAGGAAGCACCGGCUAACUCCGUGCCAGCAGCCGCGGUAAUACGGAGGGUGCGAGCGUUGUUCGGAAUUAUUGGGCGUAAAGCGCACGUAGGCGGCUUUGUAAGUCUCACUGUGAAAGCCCGGGGCUCAACCUCGGGACUGCAGGGGAUACUGCGAGGCUUGAGUCAAGUAGAGGUUGGUAGAAUUCCGGGUGUAGCGGUGGAAUGCGUAGAGAUCCGGAGGAAUACCAGAGGCGAAGGCGGCCAACUGGACUUGUACUGACGCUGAGGUGCGAAAGCGUGGGGAGCGAACAGG